ACAAGAAAAUAUAAACUGAAAUUCUACAAAAUGACUUCUCAAAGCUAUCAAUCUUGUUAUCUUUUUGGUGUUUUAUGCAUUAUUUUGAUUUUGAUUUCAGGAUCUGUUACUAGUUUGGACACUCCAGCUAAAUUAGAUUGCCCUUAUGGAAGAAAUGGACCACCAGCAGCAUGCUGCAUAGAUACUUGUAAUUCAAAUUGUGGUACAGAAUGUCUUAGAAAGGGAUUUCAAAAAGGUGGACAAUGUUGGUUUCCGGGUGGUCAAGAUAAUUGUUGUUGUUUUAUUUAA